UCUGGGUAUACAACAGUGGACGAGGACAGAUGGUCUGGGUAUAACAACAGUGGAUGAGGAAGAUGGACUGGGUGUACAACAAUAGGUGAGGAGAGAUGGCCUGGGUACACAGAAGUAUUUAUUAUUCAAUACUAAACAGUGAUGGCACCUGGUGUUAACGAAAGAAUGGCCGUCCCGUCACAAACACAUGCCAAGCCAAGUCAAUUAUUCACCUACAAAAAUGGGGUCUACGCUAUAUAGCGAUGUGCCAGUAUUAUCUCGAGUAUAGACGUUGUGUUGAUAACCAUCUGCGAGACUGAGAUGUUUCUCUGUAAAUCACUGAAAAUAUCAACAUAUUGACAAACGUCAUCAAAUGUGAGAUGACACAAACUAAAGGGGAUUGGAUCAUAAUUAAUUCAAAUUUUCAGCUGGUAUCAUGGGACUUGCGACACACCUGGGAGCCGUUGUACAAAGCGGUCUUAACUCCAAUUGCUUAAUAUAAGGUAGUCUCAUGAUCAGAGCGAAGGUUGUUUGGUACACCAGCAUCCCGGUACUUUCAUUUGUCAUACUGGGAUGUGGUUAUCACGAGCGCAUGAUUGAACCAGAGUUACAGUGAUUGUUUGGGAAGCGUUGGUUUACAUGUAUUGUCGUUGGUUGUCCUCUGUGUACAUGUAUAUUGUAAGGUCUCCAGGCCGACAUAACACGCAACACAGAUGUACAAAUAAGAGACGUUUACUUGACGAAGACAAAGAUGAGACUGAAUACGACUGAGAAACAAUCACACGUCACCGUUGAUGAGUCCACCUGCAGGCGCACGCUAUUGUUGAUGAUGGUUGCGUUUAUACGAUGCUGUCCAAAUACCAGGAACAACCUCACAAUAUGAUAUACAUACUUACUUGUAAACUGCGAUCUUCCUCCGCGCACCUGCUGCCAGCGUGGUGUACGACCCUGCUUGGAUUAGAGGCCCGGAUGGUCCUGGAGACAAAAGAUGCCAAGAUGUUAUGUUUCUAAUAAAAGGAUGCAACACUGAGAUCCCAGUAGUCGGGUUGAGGAUUAAGAUAUGGCAUUGAUUAAUAUGUUAUCCAUCGAUUUUAUAAUUACUCAUUAUGUCUGUAGUGUAUUGACAAUGAAUGUAAAUCAAUGACUAAUGCAUAGCAUGCGAGGAAAUCAAUAAAUCAUAUGGUAAUCCGA